GGCGUAGGCGGUCCUUCAAGUCGGAUGUGAAAUCUCCCGGCUCAACCGGGAGGGGCCAUUCGAAACUGCUGGGCUGGAGGGUAGCAGAGGAAAGCGGAAUUCCCGGUGUAGUGGUGAAAUGCGUAGAUAUCGGGAGGAACACCAGUGGCGAAGGCGGCUUUCUAGGCUAUUUCUGACGCUGAGGCCCGAAAGUGUGGGGAGCGAACAG
rnacentral:rRNA from 1 species